rnacentral:rRNA from 1 species
CCCUUAGAUGUUCUGGGCUGCACGCGCGCUACACUGAUGCAUGCAACGAGUUUUCGACCUUGCCUGAAAAGGUUGGGUAAUCUGUUUAACAUGUGUCGUGAUGGGGAUAGACCAUUGCAAUUAUUGAUCUUCAACGAGGAAUUCCUAGUAAGCGCGAGUCAUCAGCUCGUGCUGAUUAUGUCCCUGCCCUUUGUACACACCGCCCGUCGCUCCUGCCGAUUGAGUGAUCCGGUGAAUGAUUCGGACCAGCGUGCUGCUCAGAUCCUGCGCAGUGUGCUGGGAAGUCUAGUGAACCUUAUCACUUAGAGGAAGGAGAAGUCGUAACA